rnacentral:rRNA from 1 species
GCUCUCUUCGGAGAGUGUAUAGAGUGGCGCACGGGUGAGUAACACGUAAGUAAUCUACCCUCGAGUGGGGAAUAACGUCCGGAAACGGACGCUAAUACCGCAUAAUGCAGCGGCACCGCAAGGUGACAGUUGUUAAAGAUUUAUCGCUUGAGGAGGAGCUUGCGGCAGAUUAGCUAGUUGGUAAGGUAAUGGCUUACCAAGGCUACGAUCUGUAACCGGUCUUAGAGGACGGUCGGUCACACUGACACUGAAUAACGGGUCAGACUCCUACGGGAGGCAGCAGUCGGGAAUUUUGGGCAAUGGGCGAAAGCCUGACCCAGCAACGCCGCGUGAAGGAUGAAGUAUUUCGGUAUGUAAACUUCGAAAGAAUAGGAAGAAUAAAUGACGGUACUAUUUAUAAGGUCCGGCUAACUACGUGCCAGCAGCCGCGGUAAUACGUAGGGACCAAGCGUUGUUCGGAUUUACUGGGCGUAAAGGGCGCGUAGGCGGCAAUUCAAGUCAUCUGUGAAAUCUCCGGGCUUAACUCGGAACGGUCAGAUGAUACUGCUUUGCUAGAGUGCAGAAGGGGCAAUCGGAAUUCUUGGUGUAGCGGUGAAAUGCGUAGAUAUCAAGAGGAACACCUGAGGUGAAGACGGGUCGCUGGGCUGACACUGACGCUGAGGCGCGAAAGCCAGGGGAGCAAACGGGAUUAGAUACCCCGGUAGUCCUGGCCCUAAACGAUGAAUACUUGGUGUCUGGAGUUAUUAGUGCUCCGGGUGCCGUCGCU